CUUGUUUUCUAGAUGACUAAGCGGAGGAGGCUCAGAGAGGUGAAGACAGUUGUCCCUGGUCACCCAGCUAGCGAGUGCUGGGCUGGGGUCUGAACCCCUCUCACCACCAACUGGUAAAUUCCCCUUUGUGCCCUGGGGCUUCCGGAUUGGGGGGGGCGGGGAGGGAGGAGAGCGACCAGGUUUCGGGCUUUUUCUGCUUUUCUGUCUCUCUCUCUCACCAGCUACAGGGAAGGCCGGCCCAGAGCAGAGCACCUGCAGGGCUGUCUAGAAGGCAAGGAGCGUGGGAGGGGAAGAGAUCGGGGACAUUCACUCGUGGGCUAACUUCUGUUCCUGUUCCCUGUUGCAGGUACUUGUUCCUCUGCCAUAUCACUUGGGCUUCUGCAUAGUUUUCCUUUGGAGAAAGGGAUAGACAGCUCAAAAAUAAUUGGAAACCAGCGCACCAGACCAAGCGAAGUCCGGGGCUCGUGCCUGGCGGAUCGGCGUGUGAUAAGGUGGGUUUCCGUGCAGGCCGUGGGGAAACACGAAACUCACAAACUUAGAAGAGACUGGAGAGCCUCGGAGCCGCCAGCGCGAGUGGUGGGGGGCGGUGCCUCUUCGCUGAAUUUGAAUUUAAAAUCCUUAGCCCUUAAAAAAAAAAACAAAAAAAAACCGGGCAAGACCCACCGUGCUACCUACCAGAGGCAAAACCCCGGGGAAGGUUUUGCAAGGGGAAGGUUUUGUAAGAUGUGGGCCUGGCCUGGCCUGAGGGGCGUGGCCCGCUAGGAAGGUCAGCUCCUGAUGCCCCGCCAGCGACUCUGACCUCCAGGCCGGUCUGGGAGGUUUUCCCUCAUCCAAGCAAAACACGUCAGACCUGGGCACCUCGGGUCAGCCUCGGGCAGGGGCUGGCAGGGCCACUUAAGAGAGGCAGGAGUUUAAGGAAGUCUCUGAAGUCGCUCAGACAUCUGCAGAGGCUAAAACAGCAAUUUCCUCUUGGUGGCGGGACAUGGUGUUCCCAGAGGAACACGUGGCCCCCAGGUGCUGAUCGGCCGCGGCUGUUGUGUCCCUGACCCGGUUCCUGCGGCUCGGCCUGCUCAGAGCCAGAGAGAACCUGUUUGACAGUCCACACGGGAGGAAGGGCCAGGGCUGGGGUCACUGUGACCAGUAAGACAUGGUCCGUGCCCCUGACGAGCAAAGGACACGCCGGGAACUUCUGUCCCCCUAGCCAGCGGGGUUCUGGAAGUAAUGGCUACAACAGACGCUACAAUUUGUUGAGAACUUACUAUGUGCUAAGUGCUUCAUGUGCAUUCAUUGCCUCAUUGAAUUAUUACCACCCGAUGUCGGAGAAGUCCUAUUGCUCCAUUUAACAGAUAAAAAGACUGAGAUUCAGAGAAGUUAAGUCAAACGGUAAGUGGCAGAGCAGAGAUGUGAACCCAAGUUUAGUGCCUAAGACUUCACCCUUGAUCAUGGUUCAUUAUCCAGACCCAAAGUAUCUGGAGUAGUGGGACCCCACCCCUACCAAGGGCUCCUGCCUUAGUUUCUCUAUACCAUACAUUUUCAGGGAGACAAUGUCCCCCCCACUCAGGGCGCAACAAUUGCUUCCGGGGGGGGUUACAAAAAAAUCUUACUUUUUAAUGUAUAAAGCACUCAUACAAUAUAUAAACAGAUGUAUAGCAUAUCUGUAGUAUUAAAAGUUGAUGCGGGGUGGGGGGGCUCCGAUUAGAAAAAAAGUGCCUGGAACAUAGUAGUUGCUCAGCAAACAGUCGUUCCUUCCUUCACUGCCCACUGGAGCCAGAUGUGAAUCGGUCCCAUUGGGAGCUUUGCAUAUUAGGCCCAGGCUCGGCCCAGUCUCACCCAGGUCCACCCUCGCUCCGUGAGCCCUUGUUGUCCAGGCCCCAGCAGGCUCGACGUCAGAGUCUGCUCCCAUUAGGACCCAGGUUCACCCCCGCCCAACAUCCUUGUUUCCUCCUGGGAGGCCCCAGCUCCCCAGAGUUGGCUGUUGGGACUCGUUACAGGUUAAACAGGUACAGGCUCAGAUCAGCUCCAAUGAAACUGAACACUUCAGGUCCCUGUGGUCAAUUCUCCCAACACAGGGAAAAAGGUAAUUGUCAAUUAACGAGCCCAUCAACUGAGGCGGGAGGAAAAUCAAUAGCACGGACCAAUGCGAGUGUUCUAAUGCCAGUCAGGAUUCCCGGAGCGGGAGCCUUUCAAAUAGGUACACGGAGUAAUUGGCUGCUCCCUUGUGACCCGUCCCGCGGACUCUACAACUCUCCAAUUAACAUGUACCGUUGACAGGCACACAAUUAUUUGGGUUCACUGUGCCCCAGCUAGUGUUUGUUCAAUCAGAACUUGCAAAUACACAGAAAGUGCGCAGAAUAGCAAACGCGGGAUGGCUCUGGGGGAAGCCGGACAGCAAGUGGGUCUUAAAGGAACCCUGGACUUGGGAUUUCUCUUCCAGAGAGCUGCCCCGAGUCUCAGCUCGGAUGUUGGCCCACAGCCCUACUGUGGCCGGCCCCUGACUAGACCUGUCCUCAUCCCACUGACGAACUCAGAGGGGGCUGCCCAGGGCUGGGCAAGCGCUGCCUCCUGCGAUCUACUGGAACCGUCUACCAGGUGACUAUCGUCCUUUGCAAAGAAGGAGCCUUCUGCCUGGAAGGCCAUUUCUCAUCUCUCCCACCCGGAUCAUUGUGACCCAUCCAAAUCAGUCUCCAGAUCCGCGGGGAUUCUUCCUGGAUUUUUCCAGGCAGGGCCCUUUUCCCUGUGCACCUUAGCUUCCUGGGCUUCCUUCUCCCUUAGCACGUAUCCCAUUGGGUUACCCCACUGUUUUAUCUCAGUGUGCCUCCCCAAAGAGUAACUGAGCCCUUUGAUGUCGG
rnacentral:lncRNA from 1 species